rnacentral:rRNA from 1 species
AGGGCGCACGGUGGAUGCCUUGGCACCAGGAACCGAUGAAGGACGUGGGAGGCCACGAUAGGCCCCGGGGAGUCGUCAACCAGGCUUUGAUCCGGGGGUGUCCGAAUGGGGAAACCCGGCAGUCGUCAUGGGCUGUCACCCGCUGCUGAACACAUAGGCAGUGUGGAGGGAACGCGGGGAAGUGAAACAUCUCAGUACCCGCAGGAAGAGAAAACAACCGUGAUUCCGGGAGUAGUGGCGAGCGAAACCGGAUGAGGCCAAACCGUAUGCGUGUGAGACCCGGCAGGGGUUGCGCAUUCGGGGUUGUGGGAUCUCUCUUUCAUGGUCUGCCGGCCAUGAGACGAGUCAGAAACCGUUGAUGUAGGCGAAGGACAUGCGAAAGGUCCGGCGUAGAGGGUAAGACCCCCGUAGUCGAAACGUCAGCGGCUCGUUUGAGAGACACCCAAGUAGCACGGGGCCCCGAUAGCGGAUAGUACCGUGAGGGAAUGGUGAAAAGUACCGCGGGAGCGGAGUGAAAUAGUACCUGAAACCGUGUGCCUACAAGCCGUGGGAGCGUCGGACAUCAAGCUUGCUUGGUGUCUCGUGACUGCGUGCCUUUUGAAGAAUGAGCCUGCGAGUUUGCGGUGUGUUGCGAGGUUAACCCGGGUGGGGAAGCCGUAGCGAAAGCGAGUCCGAAUAGGGCGAUUUUAGUAGCACGCUCAAGACCCGAAGCGGAGUGAUCUAGCCAUGGGCAGGUUGAAGCGGAGGUAAGACUUCGUGGAGGACCGAACCCACCAGGGUUGAAAACCUGGGGGAUGACCUGUGGUUAGGGGUGAAAGGCCAAUCAAACUCCGUGAUAGCUGGUUCUCCCCGAAAUGCAUUUAGGUGCAGCGUCGUGUGUUUCUUGCCGGAGGUAGAGCACUGGAUAGGCGAUGGGCCCUACCGGGUUACUGACCUUAGCCAAACUCCGAAUGCCGGUAAGUGAGAGCGCGGCAGUGAGACUGUGGGGGAUAAGCUCCAUGGUCGAGAGGGAAACAGCCCAGAGCAUCGACUAAGGCCCCUAAGCGUACGCUAAGUGGGAAAGGAUGUGGAGUCGCACAGACAACCAGGAGGUUGGCUUAGAAGCAGCCACCCUUGAAAGAGUGCGUAAUAGCUCACUGGUCUAGUGAUUCCGCGCCGACAAUGUAGCGGGGCUCAAGCGUACCGCCGAAGUCGUGUCAUUGCAGCAUUAAGCCCCAACGGGUGCUGUGAUGGGUAGGGGAGCGUCGUCUGCCGGGUGAAGCAGCCGCGGAAGCGAGUUGUGGACGGUUGACGAGUGAGAAUGCAGGCAUGAGUAGCGAUUCACACGUGAGAAACGUGUGCGCCGAUUGACUAAGGGUUCCUGGGUCAAGCUGAUCUGCCCAGGGUAAGUCGGGACCUAAGGCGAGGCCGACAGGCGUAGUCGAUGGAUAACCGGUUGAUAUUCCGGUACCCGCUGUGAAGCGUCAAACAUCGAAUCCAGUGAUGCUAAGCCCGUGAAGCCGCCGGCUGAGUCUUCGGACGAGGUCGGAGUGGUGGAGCCGGUGACCCGAGCUGGUAGUAGGUGAGUGAUGGGGUGACGCAGGAAGGUAGUCCAUCCCGGGCGGUGGUUGUCCCGGGGUAAGGGUGUAGGCCGGACGGUAGGCAAAUCCGCCGUUCAUUAAGGCUGAGACCUGAUGCCGAGCCGAUUGUGGUGAAGUGGAUGAUCCUAUGCUGUCGAGAAAAGCCUCUAGCGAGUUUCAUGGCGGCCCGUACCCUAAACCGACUCAGGUGGUCAGGUAGAGAAUACCGAGGCGUUCGGGUGAACUAUGGUUAAGGAACUCGGCAAAAUGCCCCCGUAACUUCGGGAGAAGGGGGGCCACAACCGGUGAUGAGCUUCGCGCUCUGAGCUGGGGGUGGCCGCAGAGACCAGCGAGAAGCGACUGUUUACUAAAAACACAGGUCCGUGCGAAGCCGUAAGGCGAUGUAUACGGACUGACGCCUGCCCGGUGCUGGAACGUUAAGGGGACCGGUUAGCUCACUUUCGGGUGGGCGAAGCUGAGAACUUAAGCGCCAGUAAACGGCGGUGGUAACUAUAACCAUCCUAAGGUAGCGAAAUUCCUUGUCGGGUAAGUUCCGACCUGCACGAAUGGCGUAACGACUUCUCGACUGUCUCAACCAUAGGCCCGGUGAAAUUGCACUACGAGUAAAGAUGCUCGUUUCGCGCAGCAGGACGGAAAGACCCCGGGACCUUUACUACAGUUUGAUAUUGGUGUUCGGUUCGGCUUGUGUAGGAUAGCUGGGAGACUGUGAACUCUGGACGCCAGUUCAGGGGGAGUCGUCGUUGAAAUACCAGUCUGGUCGUGCUGGAUGUCUAACCUGGGUCCGUGAUCCGGAUCAGGGACAGUGUCUGAUGGGUAGUUUAACUGGGGCGGUUGCCUCCUAAAGAGUAACGGAGGCGCCCAAAGGUUCCCUCAGCCUGGUUGGCAAUCAGGUGUUGAGUGUAAGUGCACAAGGGAGCUUGACUGUGAGACCGACGGGUCGAGCAGGGACGAAAGUCGGGACUAGUGAUCCGGCGGUGGCUUGUGGAAGCGCCGUCGCUCAACGGAUAAAAGGUACCCCGGGGAUAACAGGCUGAUCUUCCCCAAGAGUCCAUAUCGACGGGAUGGUUUGGCACCUCGAUGUCGGCUCGUCGCAUCCUGGGGCUGGAGUCGGUCCCAAGGGUUGGGCUGUUCGCCCAUUAAAGCGGUACGCGAGCUGGGUUUAGAACGUCGUGAGACAGUUCGGUCCCUAUCCGCUGUGCGCGUAGGAGUCUUGAGAAGGGCUGUCCCUAGUACGAGAGGACCGGGACGGACGAACCUCUGGUGUGCCAGUUGUUCUGCCAAGGGCAUGGCUGGUUGGCUACGUUCGGGAGGGAUAACCGCUGAAAGCAUCUAAGCGGGAAGCCUGCUUCGAGAUGAGGACUCCCACCUCCUACUGGGUUGAUAGGCCGGAUAUGGAAGCACGGUAACGUGUGGAGUUGACCGGUACUAAUAGGCCGAGGGCUUGUCCU